CUACGGGUCGCACCAGUGAGGAAUAUUGCACAAUGGGGGGAACCCUGAUGCAGCAACGCCGCGUGGAGGAUGACUCAUUUCUUUUUUUAAACUCCUUUUAUAUGUCAAGAAAAUGACGGUAGCAUAUGAAUAAGCACCGGCUAACUCCGUGCCAGCAGCCGCGGUAAUACGGAGGGUGCAAGCGUUACUCGGAAUCACUGGGCGUAAAGGACGCGUAGGCGGGUUGGAAAGUCAGGUGUGAAAUCCUACAGCUUAACUGUAGAACUGCACUUGAAACUUCUAAUCUAGAGUAUGGGAGGGGGAGAUGGAAUUAGUGGUGUAGGGGUAAAAUCCGUAGAUAUCACUAGGAAUACCUAAAGCGAAGGCGAUCUCCUGGAACAUUACUGACGCUAAGGCGUGAAAGCGUGGGGAGCAAACAGGGUUAGAUACCCCCGUAGUC
rnacentral:rRNA from 1 species